UAGGGAAUUUUGGGCAAUGGGCGAAAGCCUGACCCAGCAACGCCGCGUGUGGGAUGAAGGCCCUCGGGUCGUAAACCACUGUCAGGAGGAAAGAAAAGUCGGCCGGAUAAUACUCGGUCGACCUGACGGUACCUCCAAAGGAAGCACCGGCUAACUCCGUGCCAGCAGCCGCGGUAAUACGGAGGGUGCAAGUGUUGUUCGGAAUUACUGGGCGUAAAGCGCGUGUAGGUGGUCGAGUAAGUCGAAUGUGAAAGCCCCGGGCUCAACCCGGGAAGUGCAUCCGAAACUGCUCGACUAGAGUCCCGGAGAGGAAGGCAGAAUUCCCAAUGUAGGGGUGAAAUCCGUAGAUAUUGGGAGGAAUACCGGUGGCGAAGGCGGCCUUCUGGACGGUGACUGACACUGAGGUACGAAAGCAUGGGUAGCAAACAGGAUUAGAUACCCCCGUAGUCCCUGAGCGGGCUGGCAAGGCGCAU
rnacentral:rRNA from 1 species